UACGGAGGGUGCUAGCGUUGUUCGGAAUUACUGGGCGUACAGGGCGCGUAGGCGGCCGUUUGCGUCGGAUGUGAAAGCCCGGGGCUCAACCUCGGAACGGCAUUCGAUACGGGACGGCUGGAGACCGGGAGAGGAGAGUGGAAUAGCCAGUGUAGAGGUGAAAUUCGUAGAUAUUGGCUGGAACACCGGUGGCGAAAGCGGCUCUCUGGCCCGGUUCUGACGCUGAGGCGCGAAAGCGUGGGGAGCAAACAGG
rnacentral:rRNA from 1 species